rnacentral:rRNA from 1 species
UAACCUGCCCAAGAGAUCGGGAUAACACCUGGAAACAGAUGCUAAUACCGGAUAACAAUAGAUGAUGCCUAUCAACUGUUUAAAAGAUGGUUCUGCUAUCACUCUUGGAUGGACCUGCGGUGCAUUAGCUAGUUGGUAGGGUAACGGCCUACCAAGGCGAUGAUGCAUAGCCGAGUUGAGAGACUGAUCGGCCACAUUGGGACUGAGACACGGCCCAAACUCCUACGGGAGGCAGCAGAG